rnacentral:rRNA from 1 species
AAAGGAAUUGACGGGGGCUCACACAAGCGGUGGAGCAUGUUGUUUAAUUCGAAGCAACGCGAAGAACCUUACCUAGACUUGACAUGUUGGAAGUAGAAACCCGAAAGGGCAACGACCGGUAUCCAGUCCGGAACCUUCACAGGUGCUGCAUGGCUGUCGUCAGCUCGUGUUGUGAAACGUUGGGUUAAGUCCCGUAACGAGCGAAACCCCUGUCGUCUGUUGCCACCGGGUCAUGCCGGGCACUCGGACGAUACUGCCGGUGUUAAACCGGAGGAAGGCGGGGACGACGUCAAGUCAUCAUGGUCCUUACGUCUAGGGCUACAAACGUGCUACAAUGGCAGGUACAGAGAGACGCAAUACCGCGAGGUGGAGCAAAUCUUCAAAGCCUGCCCCAGUUCAGAUUGGAGGCUGCAAUUCGCCUCCAUGAAGUUGGAAUCGCUAGUAAUCGCGAAUCAGCUACGUCGCGGUGAAUACGUUCCUGAGCCUUGUACACACCGCCCGU